GACGAACCGUGCGAACGUUAUUCGGAAUCACUGGGCUUAAAGGGCGCGUAGGUGGUUGAUCAAGUCUGGGGUGAAAUCUUUCGGCUUAACCGGAAAAGUGCCCUGGAUACUGAUCAGCUGGAGGGAGGUAGGGGCAGUUGGAACUUCCAGUGGAGCGGUGAAAUGCGUUGAUAUUGGAAGGAACGCCGGUGGCGAAAGCGAACUGCUGGACCUCUUCUGACACUGAGGCGCGAAAGCUAGGGGAGCAAACGGG
rnacentral:rRNA from 1 species